AAAAGCGGAGGAAAAGAAACCAACAGGGAUUGCCUUAGUAGCGGCGAGUGAAGCGGCAAAAGCUCAAAUUUGAAAUCUGGCACUUUCAGUGUCCGAGUUGUAAUUUGAAGAAGGUAUCUUUGGGUCUGGCUCUUGUCUAUGUUUCUUGGAACAGAACGUCACAGAGGGUGAGAAUCCCGUGCGAUGAGAUGACCCAGACCUAUGUAAAGUUCCUUCGAAGAGUCGAGUUGUUUGGGAAUGCAGCUCUAAGUGGGUGGUAAAUUCCAUCUAAAGCUAAAUAUUGGCGAGAGACCGAUAGCGAACAAGUACAGUGAUGGAAAGAUGAAAAGAACUUUGAAAAGAGAGUGAAAAAGUACGUGAAAUUGUUGAAAGGGAAGGGCUUGAGAUCAGACUUGGUAUUUUGUAUGUUACUCUUUCGGGGGUGGCCUCUACAGUUUACCGGGCCAGCAUCAGUUUGGGCGGUAGGAGAAUUGCAAAGAAAUGUGGCACUGCCUCGGUAGUGUGUUAUAGUCUUUGUCGAUACUGCCAGCCUAGACUGAGGACUGCGGCUUCGGCCUAGGAUGUUGGCAUAAUGAUCUUAAGUCGCCCGUCUUGAACCACGGACCAAAG
rnacentral:rRNA from 1 species